ACACUCGUACCACCAAGAAUAUUUCUUUCCUCGAAAUCAUUGUAUGUGAUCUUUUAACCUUACUUAAAAUAAUAAUUUAUAUUUGAAGAUUUUUUCAAAUCCAAUAAUAUCACUGAUAUCGUUAAUUUUACUCACAACUAAGAUUAUUCAUUUCGCUCUUAAGUGUAUUACCCAAGGGUGGUAUUUAAAAGUAAAGUCUAAGCGAGCUAUAUUAUUCCGGAAAUUGCGGCUGUAAAAAAAUUGUUUUUGAUGGAAUCAUACAACGGAGACGGAAAGGGUCGCAAAAAAAUGAGUCGUCUGUUGUCGAAAAUGCUGGGACCAGAAACGAGUUGCAUGAGAGGAGGUCGAGAACAUCAAUUUAGAAGCAAAGGAGGGAAAAAAUUAAAUAAGACGUAUCGGUAUCAACAUAGUUAAAAUUAUGUGAUGUCUUUAAUUAAUAAUAAUCUUCGUGCAACAAUUUUAAUUACCUAGUAAAUUAAAUACAAUUAGUACACAAAUCAA